GUUCACAAGUUUUGAGAACAAAUUUAGGAGUUUGAAGAAAAUGAGAGUAAAUCAUGGAGAGUAGAAGACAUUCCAAAGUGGUAAAUGUAGGCUGAAAAUGUAGCAUCUGAACCUGGGAGGCUCUGAUCAUCUACUAUAAACGUGGACCUACUAACUGCAAUGAAGUAUCACAGGACUGUCUGAUAGAGUUAUGCAAGAUGAAGCUGGCUCACUUCCGAAAGCUUUCUAGGUUCAAGACUCCUCCGGCCCCUGCCCGUGUCUCAUCACUCCUUGCCUAGCUGAUGUGCCAGACAUAAGAGACAAUAUGCAGCUGCCCAAUCUCACGCCACACCUUUGUAACCAAAAUGAAUUAUGAUGUUCCCUUUGCUUGG